AAAUGAAUAGACGGGGGCCCGCACAAGCGGUGGAGUAUGUGGUUUAAUUCGAAGCAACGCGAAGAACCUUACCUGGCCUUGACAUAUACGUGACUGGCGUAGAGAUACGCAGUUUCUCCCUAGUGGAGGACACGUAUACAGGUGCUGCAUGGCUGUCGUCAGCUCGUGUCGUGAGAUGUUGGGUUAAGUCCCGCAACGAGCGCAACCCUUGCCUUUAGUUGCUAACAGGUGAAGCUGAGCACUUUAGAGGGACAGCCUGCGUUAAGCAGGAGGAAGGUGGGGACGACGUCAAGUCAUCAUGGCCCUUACGGCCAGGGCUACACACGUACUACAAUGGACGGUACAGAGGGUUGCAAAGCCGCGAGGUGGAGCUAAUCCCAGAAAGCCGUCCCCAGUUCGGAUUGCAGUCUGCAACUCGACUGCAUGAAGUUGGAAUCGCUAGUAAUCGCGGAUCAGCACGCCGCGGUGAAUACGUUCCCGGGCCUUGUACACACCGCCCGU
rnacentral:rRNA from 1 species